GAGAGUGGCGAACUGGUGAGUACAGUGGUUACCUGCCCGAAGACGGGGAUGAGCGGGGAAACGAGGUUAAUCCCGAUAUCGCGGUGAUCGGUUCACGAGUAGAGGCCCGGUGCUUCGGGAUGGGCCUGCGGGCUAUCAGCUAGUUGGUGCGGUAAUGGCCCACCAAGGCGAACACGGGUACGGGGCGUGAAAGCGCGGCCCCCCAGACUGGGCACUGACAAUACGGGCCAGACUUCUACUGAAGGCAGCAGUCGUGGAUAUUGCACAAUCGGCGAAAGCCGGAUGCUGCGACCCACGCGUGGGCGAUGAAGGCCUUCUGGUUGAUAAGCCCUUUCAUGGGGGAAGACACUAUGACGGUACCCCAAGAAUUAUCGUCUGCUAACUACGUGCCAUGCGGCCGUGGCUGAACGUAAGACGCCAGCGUUAUCCGGAUUUACUGGGCGUAAAGAGCGUUGAGGCGGUUCCGUAAGUUGGGCGUGAGAGCCCCGGGCGUAUCCCGGGGAGGUCGUUCAAUACUGUGUGGACUUGAGGGCAGCAGAGGGAGGCGGAACUCCCGGUGUAGCGGGGAUGUGCGUAGAUAUCGGGAGGGACACCAGUGGGCUAAGGCGGCCUCCUGGGCUGUUUCUGACACUGACGGCGAUAGCUAAGGGAGCGAACUGGAUUAUAAAUCCCGGUAGUCCUCGCCGUCCACGAGUGGAUGCUGGGUGU
rnacentral:rRNA from 1 species